GUUUCAAUAGCAUAGUGGUUAGUGCACUGCCCGGUUAGCUUGGGACGCGGGUUCGAUUCCCGCCAGAGAUG
rnacentral:tRNA from 1 species